AUGCGGCAGGAAGAAGUGGCAUUUAGAAGUGUUGCUGACUUUACAUUUAGGUUUCGGCAUAACAAAGCUUGCACUGUCUUUUCGCACUUAGGCGCACAACGUGUCGUUGGUAAUGAUUCUACUACGGUGCUGCAAAUUCGCAAGCUGAUCCUAAGUAAUUGUUGUUGUUCAUUGGAUUCCUCCGGAAUUACUUCGUUAGGAUUGAAGAAUUGCUGCAAUUCUUCCUGA
rnacentral:rRNA from 1 species